AAAGUAGAGGUCUCUAGAAAUGCCUGUUGGGCUUGAGGAAUGCUGAUGACAUUUUUGUAACUAUCCUUUAUCAUCUAUUUUCACUACUUCCUCCGCUCAUUCCACCUUUUCGAUUUUGCGAUUCAAAAUCGUCCUGUGAACUAUCUCCUUCAUUUCAAAGCUUUGUUCACCACUCAAUUUCAGAUUGGCAAACUACCUUGCAGCCUGAGGUUCUACCUUGAACACAGAGAACAUUCAAACAAAAUAUGGGGCAGGGGGCAACCCGCGUGACUUUAAGACCCCCUUCAUAUCCUCCCACUAGGCGCAUUUUGAGCGCCAGCGCUCACCACAUCCGGCCGCCCCAACAUUCCCAGUCCCCUCCCUCCUCUCACUUCUAGGUCAACAAAUAUUUUAAUAGGUCUUUUUGAACAGAUGUGGUCUGUCGAUGUAUGCAAUGACCCCCAUCGGAAAUAAUUUGGGGUGAGGGGGGAAGGCGGCCUUCCUCUCCAGGAGAGCCUUUAUUGUGUAAUCUCUAGUUAAUGAGCCUCUCUCUGGGCCUCAGACUGGGCGAGUUAUUUUCCGUGUCUGCAAGUCUGCAGAAGAGGCUGAGAAGCAAACCUCCUGGGUUCCCGGCACCACCAGACUUAGCCUUCUCCAAGCUCCAAGGCAGGGGAUACUUUCCACAAUACCUCUGACAGAUCAUCACUUCCAAUCGUGGAGAAUUUGCUACCUAAGAGGACAGCCGAUUCCCUAUUUGAAUGGCUCUGGAUUUUGAAAGUCUCCGAUAAAGUCCUGAAUCGGUUUCCUGUAACAACACUGUAAGUUCUCGUUGUAAAUAAGUCAAGUCUCUUUUCUGAAUGUCAAAGACACUUAUGUGGUAUUCUCUGGGUAAGUAAGUAGUUUUUAGUGAAAAUAUUUUAUGCACAGCAGGCAGAGCUGAAGACACUUUUCAGUGUUCAGAAUUGAGGCACUUUCUGGGGCAUCCCAUUAAGGAUUUCCACCCUGAAUUCUUUCCAGAAGCUAAUUGGGUCUGUGAAGACCACAGAGUACAGGUGUUCCAUGUUCUAUGCAGCUCACAUUCCUACAUAAACAUGCUGUUACUUUCUCCAGCGUCGCAAGCUCCUGGGUGGUCUUAGGGCUGCCUUCAAAGGAAAACAAGUAAGACUUUCCUCUCAUUGUUGAUCACUUGAAGACCUGGUUAGCAUACACCAUUUUGGAAUCUUUAUUUACUGAGUCAUGAGUUCUCACCUGAAAGGAAACUUAAGUGACUAACUCUGGCUCCAAACCUGAUUGAAUAACCAAAGAGUACAGGAAAAGUAAAAGUGAGGGAAACAGGUAACUUCUGUGCUAAGUUCAAUGCCCUAAGCUCUUGAUCAUACAAUUAUUACUUAGCAAGGUGAAAGCAACUAACGUUUUCCUCCAGAAAUAUAGAAGCAAGCCAGUUAGGUGGCUUAAAGUUAGGUGGGGUUUGUUUUUUUUUUUUUUGGUCCCAGAUUGCAGAUUUCUCCAAAUGGUGAUGAGUUGGCUAAGUUUUGCAACAAGAGCAAUCAUUGUUCUUACCGCAUAGAAUGUCAGUGUUUCUUGUGUGCCAGGCACUGUGCUAGGUACUUUGUGGGACUUACACAAUGUGGCCCUCCUAACAAUCCUGAAAGGUAAAUAUGAUUAUCAGCA
ensembl:lncRNA